UACGGAGGGUGCAAACGUUGCUCGGAAUUAUUGGGCGUAAAGCGCACGUAGGCGGCCGACUAAGUCGGGUGUGAAAGCCCUGGGCUCAACCCAGGAAGUGCACUCGAAACUGGUCGGCUUGAGUAUGGAAGAGGGUUGCGGAAUUCCCGGUGUAGAGGUGAAAUUCGUAGAUAUCGGGAGGAAUACCAGAGGCGAAGGCGGCUACCUGGACAAUUGCUGACGCUCAGGCACGAAAGCGUGGGGAGCAAAAGGG
rnacentral:rRNA from 1 species